GACAGAGGGGGCAAGCGUUGCUCGGAAUCACUGGGCGUAAAGGGCGCGUAGGCGGGAUGGCAAGUCGGUCGUGAAAUCCUUCGGCUCAACCGAAGAACGUCGGCCGAUACUGCCGUUCUUGAGGGAUGCAGAGGAGAUUGGAAUUCCCAGUGUAGCGGUGAAAUGUGUAGAGAUCGGGAGGAACACCGGUGGCGAAGGCGGGUCUCUGGGCAUCUCCUGACGCUGAGGCGCGAAAGCGUGGGGAGCAAACGGG
rnacentral:rRNA from 1 species